GGAAUCUUUACUUCCUAACAGCGAUUCAAUACUGCUGCGGCUUCGUCUAAAUAGGAGGACGUCUGACGUCAGAUGUGGAGGUGGGGCAAACGGCAAAACCCGGAACAGGAGUAAGGGGAAUCGCUGAUUGGCACAAAUGCAAAAGUUGGUCGAGAAUCUGUUGAAAGAUUUGGUGCCUUGCUUUUUCCAAAACUAAAAUCGCCUUU